AGGUAUUUCCUAGCAUUUUAAAAUAGGAAUAUAUGCACUUAGCAUAUAAGGUGGGAGGGGUUUACUCAGAGGUUCUUUUGACUUAGGUGGAUGGGUGCUGCACUCAUUUAAGCCAGUUCUGUGAAUAGUGGAACUAUUUAAGUCUGGUUGUGCACUGGUAUUUCAUGAUUGAUAGAUGAGAAAUGCAAGUUCCUAUUUUAAGAGCAUGUCUGUUUGGACCACAUACAGUCGUUCUGACCUACAGAGGGUGUAGUUGUAAUUGAGACUAACUUUACAAAUAUGUUUGAUUCAGGGCUCCAAACAGAAUGAGAAAUCACCAGCAGACAGAUUGCCACAUGCACAAGAGUUUACACUGCAGUACCACUGAUGACUUCCACAAGAAACCAAGGCAAAAAGGAGACCAUUGCAUUUGUGUUCAUUUCACCUGGAGUGCCAUGCCAUGAGACAGGAAUUUAGGACUACAAAGGCUUUCUGUGCCCCAUCCCAUGGGAAGGGAGUGAAUGAGCAGCUGCAUGGGGCUCAGUUGCUGGCUGGGAUUAAACCACAACAGCACUCUAAUCUGCAGUGCCAGAAGAGAGAAGAGCUUGUGCCAGUUGACAGAAACUGGACCACUGGAUGUCUUGAAGCUGGUGUUCCAGCAACACCCAAGCACAUCACCUGCAUGAUCCUCUCAUCAGAAAAAUACCCCAAAAGUCAGCAUCAGGAAACCCAUCACACAGUGGGCCCUGGAGAAGUUAGCUGUUGGUGUAGUGCAGAGCACUGCUGCUGUCUAGUGAGUCAGAGUUAAUAAAAUAAGGUGGUAAACCCAACAUGUGACUUACAAAGAGCUUCCCCCACUAAUGAGAGUUACCCAGGAUCCCAGAGAUGCUCAUUAUGUGUUGUUUAUGCCCAGUAGUAAAGUCUUGCAUUGCCUCAGUAGUGCUAGCUGAAAUAGUGCUCUGUGAUAAUAGAAUAAAAGCUAUCAAGGAGUUUUGUUGUCUGUACUUAUGUAGCUCUGGGUUGUAUUCUUUAAUAUCUCUCCCCUCUCUCCCCAUAUCAGAGUGUUAUUUAUAGGAGCAAUUCUUCACUCAGCUGAAAAUAAAGGAAACCUUGAAAACACCUCAAGGCAGGCUGAUUAUGAAUAAAUAGGGAUGCUAGCAUAGCAGACCAAAAAACUCCACAAUGUAAAGCCACGUAUUUCAGCACAACCACA